CACGUAGGGGGCAAGCGUUGUCCGGAUUUAUUGGGCGUAAAGAGCUCGUAGGCGGUUCGGUAAGUCGGGUGUGAAACCUCCAGGCUCAACCUGGAGUCGCCACUCGAUACUGCUGUGACUAGAGUCCGGUAGGGGAGCGUGGAAUUCCUGGUGUAGCGGUGAAAUGCGCAGAUAUCAGGAGGAACACCAGUGGCGGAAGGCGGCGCUCUGGGCCGGAACUGACGCUGAGGAGCGAAAGCGUGGGUAGCAAACAGG
rnacentral:rRNA from 1 species